rnacentral:misc_RNA from 1 species
GAUGAAGAACGUAGCGAAAUGCGAUAAGUAAUGUGAAUUGCAGAAUUCAGUGAAUCAUCGAAUCUUUGAACGCACAUUGCGCCCGCCAGCAUUCUGGCGGGCAUGCCUGUUCGAGCGUCAUUUCAACCAUCAAGCCCCCAGGGGCUUGUGCUGGGGCCCUGCGGCUGCCCGCAGGCCCUGAAAACCAGUGGCGGGCUCGCUAGUCACACCGAGCGCAGUAGCACAUCUCGCUCAGGGCGUGCGGCGGGCUCCUGCCGUGAAACCCCCCACUGUAACCCCAAAGGUUGACCUCGGAUCAGGUAGGAAUACCCGCUGAACUUAAGCAUAUCAAUAAGCGGAGGA